rnacentral:tRNA from 1 species
GGGUCAUUAGCUCAGUUGGUAGAGCAGCUGACUCUUAAUCAGCGAGCCGCAGGUUCGAGUCCUGCAUGACCCACCA